rnacentral:rRNA from 1 species
CCCUAUAAAGUUUAUACAUGAAGUUGGUUAAGAGUGAUUUAGGGCGUUAAAGUUUAUUAUUAGCAGGGUGUUUAGUUGGGGUGACUGAGAUAUAAAUUAUAUAACUGUUUUUUGUUUAAAUCAGAGAUACUUGUUCUUAUGAUCCCUUUUUAGGAUUAGAGAAAAAAUUACUUUAGGGAUAACAGCGUAAUUUUUUUUAAGAGUUCUUAUCGACAAAAGAGUUUGCGACCUCGAUGUUGAAUUAAAAAUUUCUUUGUGGUGUAGCAGCUACAGAAGAAGGUCUGUUCGACCUUUAAAUUUUUACAUGAUUUG